rnacentral:misc_RNA from 1 species
GUAGGAGCUAAUUUUUAGCUAUUGACCCUACAAUCAAGGACUCAAAUUACAAAUUCCUAUUUUACAAAGAUUACUGAAAACAAGCCAACAGAUCACUAAAAUCAAGCACUAAAAUCAAGCAUAAAUUAUCUCUACACUUCUGUCUUUCAAGGAUGAGAUAUAAACAGUGGACAUUAUGGGAUUAGUAACAAAAGGUCCUUAUAUUGUAACAAAAGGUCCUUAUAUUCUCACAAGCUACAUAUGCAUACCUGAGGGGGGGAAAACAAAGGAAGUUAAUGGAUUUUGUAUCAAUUGCACUGCACGGUUAAAGCUGUUCAUGUCUACUUGCGUUUUUGUCCUGCUUUUCCCUUGCGGUUUUUCUUGGACUUGCCACUUCCCUUUCCCUUUUUAUCUAUGUUGUGAUUGCUCCAUGGACUUCCAGAAGCAAAAUUAGCCUGCCAAGCAUCCAUAUUGCCCCUAACAAAAUAGCAACCUUCUUUGGAGUUGCUGUCAUCAUAUUCCUCAUCCCAUCUAUCUGAUCCAAAGCUUUUAUCCAUCUGUGCAAAUAUGUGAUUCAGCAAACAUUCCAUGGACUUGUUGUCCAUAUAUUCCUCAUCCCAUCCAUCUGAUCCAAAGCUUUUAUCCUUCUGUGCGAAUAUGUGAUUCAGUAAAGGUUCCAUUCGUGGCUUUCUUGACUGCAACUUGUUUAAAAGCUCUCCAAUUGUUGAGUUAUCAUUCCGAAGCUUAACCUCACUAAAGAAAAUGAAUAUUCAAAACAUGAUCAUAGUCCAAUAUAAUAUACAAAAGUAAAGCUUUCAUAUCAAACAUGAUCAUAGUCCAAUAUAAUAUACAAAAGUAAAGCUUUCAUAUCAAAUGAUGGUAUGGUGUCUUAAACUAUUCAACAGUGCAUCUUACCGUCCAGCAUAAAUUAUACAGCACCAAAGAAUAUUUUUCAACUAUUAUCUCAGUACAACAAGACUCUAAGGCUGCUUGAAUAAAACUGAUUUGACCACUGCUGAAGGAAAAAGGAGGAAAGAAAAUAAGAAAUAUAUUAGACUGUUAGGUUUAAAAGAACUUACCUCGCAUCUAAUGCGGCAUGAAGUUGCUUCAAUUCAUCAAGCAUUUUUGCAGCUUCUCCAAAUAGACUUCUAUUUUCAUAUUCAGGAGGGCUCUUCUGAAAGAUUCCUUCAAUCUCAGUACUUAGAAUUUGAAUGGUUUUCUUUAUAUCUACCU